rnacentral:lncRNA from 1 species
UCAUCUUUUACAAUGACACCAGUCACAUUGGAUUGGAGUUCACCCUAAUAAUUUCAUUUUAACUUGAUCUUCUACAAAGAAGCUGUUUCCAAAUAAUAACUUAUUUCCACAGGUACUGGGAAUAGGGACAUCAGAAUCUAUGGGGGGGGGACAUAAUUCAUAACAGAAAGAAAAUGUUUCUUUUCAGAAAGUAUCUCCGAACCUAAAAUGUUAUCCUUAAAUUUGCUUUCACCUGCCUCAAACAUAAGCAUUAACCAGCUUUUCUAUAAAGAGAAAUUUUUCCCUGUUCAAUUUUUUUUUACUUUGUAUUAUUAACAAAUGACCCUUUGAAUUUGGUAUUGACUACCUCCAACCCCCCCCCCCAGAAUAAAUGCUAAAAUAGAAGGCUUCCAUCAUUAUGAGAAUUUAUUGCUUCUCUCUUACUCGAACCAUGAACUUCUGUCUAUUUGCAUUACCAGGAAGAAAUACAUUUAAACGGUCUCAAAAUCUAUGAUAUUAUCAUUGUUAUUAUUAUUAUUCAAAAUGAGACCCUGGUCAGAAGAAAAUCUUUUCCAAUGCAAUACUGGAAAGUUCUACAAGUUGUAUUUUCAAAAGCACUUAAUUUUAUAUUUCCGAUCUAUUUUUUUUAAUAAAUUGUUUUUUACCGUAAAGAGAAGAGGAAGAAAAGUAAACUCAUGCAAGUGAGUGGCUUCUAGAUGACAAAGUUUAUAGGUUUCUGUGCCUAUGUAUUCAUGACAAAGCUGAACAGCUUUUGAAAGCUGUCAGCUGUCUGUUCUCUGGGCUGACAAGCGACUAGGUCAACCCAGUUCUAACUGAACACUGAGAAUGACAUAUUUCUUAUAAAGUUUAUGUUAGGGAUCCAGCCAAGUCUAAACUCUCUUUUGACUGUGUUUGUUUUUGUGUUAGCAUUUUUCUUGGUUCAAGUUCAACAGGUAAAAUUUCCCUCGAGAAAACAUACAAGGUGGUUUUCUUCCUCUGAGGGCUUACCUCCACCCUGAGAACUUAUCUGUUCUCCCUGUAUGUCCACACACUUCAGGGAAAGACAGGAUUUCAUAAAUGAAAC